GCGUAAGCUAGUUGUAUUAGCUAAUAGUUAAUGCAGCAUCGACUCUGUCGACUAAAGUUCUGGAUAGAAUUUGAUAAUGACAUUUUCUAUCCAUGUGUCUUGACCAAAUUACGUGCCAGCAGUCGCGGCAAUACGUAGAAGACUAGUGUUAUUCAUCUUUAAUGGGUUUAAAGGGUACUUAGACGGUAUAUUCAGCCCAAAUAUUAUGAGAGGGUACUGAUUAAACUAGAGUUUUAUGCGAGGGGGUGUGUACUAGUGGAGUAGAGAUGAAAUUCUUUCAUACCAUUAUGAACAGGCAACGGCGAAAGCAACCCUUUAUGUAAAAACUGACGUUGAAGGACGAAGGCUCAGUACACCAACAGGAUUAGAUACCCUAGCAGUCUGAGCAGACAAUGAUGAGUGUCAUAGGCAAGAAAGAUACAAAAAGGAAAAAUUAACUAUUUUUUUUUUAAUUUUGUCUAUAAAUGAAAGUGUAAGCAUUCCACCUCAAGAGUAAUGUGGCAACGCAGAAACUGAAAUCAUUAGACCGUUUCUGAAACCAGUAGUGAAGUAUGUUGUUUAAUUUGUAGGUACGCAAAGAACCUUACCACAAUUUGUAUAUUUAUUUAUAUUAUCUAAAUACAAGAGUUGCACGGCUGUCUUCAGUUAAUGUCGUGAGAUUUUGGUUAGUUCCAUA
rnacentral:rRNA from 1 species